UAGCAUAUCAAUAAGCGGAGGAAAAGAAACCAACAGGGAUUGCCCUAGUAACGGCGAGUGAAGCGGCAACAGCUCAAAUUUGAAAUCUGGCUCUUUCAGAGUCCGAGUUGUAAUUUGCAGAGGGCGCUUUGGCGUUGGCAGCGGUCCAAGUUCUUUGGAACAGGACGUCACAGAGGGUGAGAAUCCCGUACGUGGUCGCUAGCCUUCGCCGUGUAAAGCCCCUUCGACGAGUCGAGUUGUUUGGGAAUGCAGCUCUAAAUGGGAGGUAAAUUUCUUCUAAAGCUAAAUAUUGGCCAGAGACCGAUAGCGCACAAGUAGAGUGAUCGAAAGAUGAAAAGCACUUUGGAAAGAGAGUCAAAUAGCACGUGAAAUUGUUGAAAGGGAAGCGCUUGCAGCCAGACUUGCCUGUAGUUGCUUAUCCGGACUUUUGUCCGGUGCACUCUUCUGCGGGCAGGCCAGCAUCAGUUUGGGCGGUUGGAUAAAGGUCUCUGUCAUGUACCUCCUUUCGGGGAGGCCUUAUAGGGGAGACGACAUGCAACCAGCCUGGACUGAGGUCCGCGCAUCUGCUAGGAUGCUGGCGUAAUGGCUGUAAGCGGCCCGUCUUGAAACACGGACCAAGGAGUCUAACAUCUAUGCGAGUGUUUGGGUGUCAAGCCCAGACGCGUAAUGAAAGUGAACGGAGGUGGGAACCUUUUAGGUGCACCAUCGACCGAUCCUGAUGUCUUCGGAAGGAUUUGAGUAAGAGCAUGGCUGUUGGGACCCGAAAGAUGGUGAACUAUGCUUGAAUAGGGUGAAGCCAGAGGAAACUCUGGUGGAGGCUCGCAGCGGUUCUGACGUGCAAAUCGAUCGUCAAAUUUGGGCAUAGGGGCGAAAGACUAAU
rnacentral:rRNA from 1 species